CGCCUUGCUGCUGGAUCCCUUUGAUGACACAGCUCCCGUGCUAAAACUGGCAUAAUCAGAAGGAUGCCCAAGUUGAAAAACAGAACAAUUCAAGGUGGAAAGAAAAUCUGAAAACACUGAAUAUCUUGCCCAAAGUGAUAGUGGAAUAACAAGCAAUGGAUUCACCAUCCAUCCAUCUUAUCUGUAAGGUUCUUAACUGUGUGCUUCUGAGCUAUUCUUGCAUCAAGCAAAUAGCAAGAUUGUUUGAUUUCAUUAAUGUCCAGGAACACAAAAUGGAAAGAUGCGUGACGUCUUCCUUGAAUAGUGUGCACAGCUGACAAAGGGAAGAAAAGAAAACAGGGUCUCCAUGAUUGCAGCAGCAUAAUGUCUUCAUGACAACCCAGACACGCUCCUCUUCAACACGGAAGCAGUGCUGAGCCUGAAGUGCCUUCUUUGUGUGGAUGAAGAUGAUUCCAGAAAUCACCCUCAGUCUUCCAUGUGUAUGACACAGCUAUGGGCAUAGGCAUCCACAUCUGUGUGUUUUCACACACAUGCAAACAUACAUACACAAGUAUAUACCGCAAACCACAUACACACAUGAAAAUGGAAGGAGAUAAAGCUAGGUAUGUGUAUGUGAAUAGACUCAGGCAGUAGAAGCUAGAGGAAGGUACAAACACCGUGGAGCCCCAUAAAGAAGAAACAAACCUAAGGAUGACACUUGGGGUGGCCUCAGUAGUAUAGGUUAAAGACCAAAAGUUAUCUGAGAAAGUGUGGAGGGAGCGGGAGGAAGACACUUCCAAAGUACUCAGUGGCUACAGGAGAAGCUAGAAGAAAGCACCAAGACUACUGGCCCGUCCAAUCAGUUCAGGACCUGUCCUGUCACUUAGUUUUGGAGAGAACUGUAAACAUAGACAAAGUUGGGGAUGAAACUUUGGUGUUAGAAGUCACCAACAAGAAUGAAUUCCAAGCGGAGGCCCAAGGUGGCAAACUCCAUCACCUUGAAGCAAGGGAGAGUAAGGGAAAAUCCAAGGAAAUGGCCUAUGUAUUUUUUGAUGGGAAGCAAGAGAGGGUAUAUGGAGAUACAGCUAGCUUGAAUAAUUUCUCCAGGCUCUGAAAUAAGUGUGGAAGAAAUUCUAUCUGCUUAGCAUGUCUGGAUGUGGUAACUAGAAAAGAAUAAGAGAUUUUGACCUGAUUGUGAGAAUCCAGUAAGCCCAAUAGUGGAGGUGGCUGUGGCUGUGGCUGUGAGUUUAGGUUUGGUUAUCUUGCAUAUGGAAAGCAUGAGGCCCAUCAGGUUGUUCUCUAUGUCGAGGAACUGGGUUAACCUAUGAAGGUCAGUCUCUGUGUGAUGAGCAGGACUACAGAUUUCAAAAUAUAAAAUAAAUAGGCACAAGUGUACCCGAUAUAAAAGGAAAUUUAAUCUGAGACCGCUUAAAAACUUCUUCUACCACAAACCUCAGUACAAGUCAACCAGAUUGAUGUAUUUUAUCAAAUACAAUUUAUGGCCUUCAUGCUGUACCCCUACUCCCACCUGGUAUUGGCCAGUUAGACAUGAGGGAUGAUUUCAGACACUCAUCCCUCAAUCCAGACAUGCAUCCUCUCUACCUUCAGCCCUGCGCACUCCCAAGGCAGCACAAGCCACUUUUCUCCUAUACAGAUCUUUGCUUCUUGUCAGAGGGUCCACAGAACAUCCCAGUGCAGCUCUCCUGACAGGGCUGGAGAUUGUGCCCAGAGAGAAGAGCUCCCAGCUUCUAUUUUAUGUUCUCACUCUUCUGUACGGCUGUGGCUGGUAACAAGGAGAGUCAGGACAUCCUCAGAAUGGGAUCAUGCUGGUUUGUAUUGGAGGGGAACUUUGUAUAUCUCUUGGAAUAAGGAGAGUUUCAUCUUCUGCUUACAAUUACAACAGAAAAGAUCCUCAGAAUGAACUCAAUAAAAAAUAGUCUUUAAUGUUCUACUCUAAGGACACAAAGAUAUCUGAACUGGUAUAAAUCAUGACAACAGGCUAACAAUAUGAGGUGAGUAAAAUUGAAGCUCUGUCUUCCUGAUUAAUAGACAAAUUCUCAAUGGUUUGACAAUAUUAUUUUUUUUUAGAGAAUGGAAAUCAUGCCAGCUGAACAGAAGGGAAAAUAGUUCUAUAAAGCUAGUCCAUAGGGAUGAAGCUUUCAGGUCAGAUCCAGCUCAAUUCCUCUGAGUCCUAUGUCUGAAGUAAGUGAUGGCCUCAGCAGUAUGGACUUUACCUCAAACCUCUAGGAGGCAACCAAGGGCAACAGCAAUAGCUGAUAUUGUUUUGGGAGUUGCUUGGAUUCCCUCUGACCAAAACCUCAAAAGGAGAUUUCUCUUUCCUAUUCCUGAGACUUUUUGUUAGAUGGUCUAUGGCUCUUAACAGCUGUCUAAUAGAAGUUGUUAAUGCCUAUUAGAAGGGAAACUGUGCCAGCUCAACAGAAGGGAAAUAGUACCUGGUACUGUAACUACCCCAGCAGAGGGAGGUCAUAGAGCUUAGAGGAGGAUGUACUACUGCCAUUUUCCUAAACCAACAUAAUUCCUAACUGCAUUCUAAAUACUUAUGCUCAUAACUCUCACUCCUGAUCAAAGAAGUUUCUUAUUGCAGCAGGUGCCAUCACGUAAAGCCACAACUGGUCAAACUGAAAAGAACAACUAACCAUGGAGUGCCUACUCCCAGGUGAUAUAUCUGCAAUACAAUCCUAAUGCCUUACUGGCUUGGGCAACAUUAGGGAAGGAGUGGGAAGGCUGUGAAAAGCCAGGAAAUCCACUGUGAACUUGUGUCUUCUCUAUGUUAAAGGGAAGCUACACUUAGAAAAUCUCAACAAUACGGCUGCCUAAACAAGACCUGAACAAUGCAAAUACCAGUUGACAUACCAACAUGCACAGCAGAAGCCUCAUAGGGCCCCAUCCCUAGAUGAAGAGCUACAGGCAAUUAAUGACUUCUGAGAAAGGGAGAAUUAGUCCUCCUCAGGAAUGAGCCCCCUAAUUAGUUAUCCAAUAUCACAUGGUUGGCUCUAAAACAUAUACAUACAGUUGAUACUAUGCAGACUCAGCAGGUCAUAUUUAUGUAUUUAUUCAUAUAUGUAACAAUAAUUAAAGAUAAAGAGGCCAUAAAUUUGAAAGUAGAGGAAAGACAUGGGGGUAGU